rnacentral:rRNA from 1 species
UCGGGAAUUUUGGGCAAUGGGGGAAACCCUGACCCAGCAACGCCGCGUGAAGGAUGAAGUAUUUCGGUAUGUAAACUUCGUAAGAAUAGGAAGAAUAAAUGACGGUACUAUUUGUAAGGUCCGGCUAACUACGUGCCAGCAGCCGCGGUAAUACGUAGGGACCAAGCGUUGUUCGGAUUUACUGGGCGUAAAGGGCGCGUAGGCGGUGUGUCAAGUCAGUUGUGAAAUCUCCGAGCUUAACUCGGAACGGUCAACUGAUACUGUCACACUAGAGUACAGAAGGGGCAAUCGGAAUUCUUGGUGUAGCGGUGAAAUGCGUAGAUAUCAAGAGGAACACCUGAGGCGAAGGCGGGUUGCUGGGCUGAUACUGACGCUGAGGCGCGAAAGCUAGGGUAGCAAACGGGAUUAGAUACCCAGGUAGUCCCUGAGCGGGCUGGCAAGGCGCAU